CCUACGGGUGGCAGCAGUGGGGAAUAUUGCACAAUGGGGGGAACCUUGAUGCAGCAAAGCCGCGUGGGUGAAGAAGUACUCCGGUAUGUAAAGCCCUGUCAGCAGGGAAGAAAAUGACGGUACCGGACCAAGAAGCCCCGGCUAACUACGGGCCAGCAGCCGCGGUAAUACGUAGGGGGCAAGCGUUAUCCGGAUUUACUGGGUGUAAAGGGAGCGUAGACGGCAAGGCAAGUCUGGAGUGAAAGCACGUGGACCAACCACGGGACUGCUUUGGAAAAGGUGUUGCUGGAGUGCAGGAGGGGUAAGCGGAAUUCCUAGUGUAGCGGUGAAAUGCGUAGAUAUUAGGAGGAACACCGGUGGCGAAGGCGGCUUACUGGACUGUAACUGACGUUGAGGCUCGAAGGCGUGGGGAGCAAACAGGAUUAGAUACCCCUGUAGUC
rnacentral:rRNA from 1 species